rnacentral:rRNA from 1 species
AUUGAACGCUGGCGGAAUGCUUUACACAUGCAAGUCGAACGGCAGCACGGGGGCAACCCUGGUGGCGAGUGGCGAACGGGUGAGUAAUACAUCGGAACGUGCCCGGUCGUGGGGGAUAACGUAGCGAAAGUUACGCUAAUACCGCAUACGAUCUGAGGAUGAAAGCGGGGGACCUUCGGACCUCGCGCGAUCGGAGCGGCCGAUGUCAGAUUAGGUAGUUGGUGGGGUAAAGGCCUACCAAGCCGACGAUCUGUAGCUGGUCUGAGAGGACGACCAGCCACACUGGGACUGAGACACGGCCCAGACUCCUACGGGAGGCAGCAGUGGGGAAUUUUGGACAAUGGGCGCAAGCCUGAUCCAGCCAUUCCGCGUGCAGGACGAAGGCCUUCGGGUUGUAAACUGCUUUUGUAUGGAACGAAAAGGCUCUGGCUAAUACCUGGGGCUCAUGACGGUACCGUAAGAAUAAGCACCGGCUAACUACGUG